ACCUGCUCUACCCCCGCCCGUUCCUAUUGGGAUCCCCCCUCCAGACCCUGCGGCCGUCCCGCCGGUCCCUCCUCCGGGCUGCAUGCCUCCGUUUGGAUUCCCGCCCCCGUUCCCGGCCCCGGUCUGGACCGCGGAGCCUGUGGUGGAGGAGCCGAUGCCCAACCCGCCGCCUGACCAACCGGAGUGGAUCAAGGCUCUUAUUUCUGCUCCACCUGGUGACUCAACUUCAGCCGAGACUAAAAAAGACUCUGAAGCUCCUGCCGUCACCAAAGCCGCGCCCCUGACCCCCCCCCGGCUGCCGCCCCCACACCUCCUGCCGCCCCGAAGCCUGAGCCCAGGUACACGGCCAAGGCGCUGGGGCUGCUAGGAAAGCGGACCUUCGAGAGGCCUCCACCCGGUAGAUCCACAGGGAUCAUCUCCUUCGUCGGGCCAACGUUCGGCUCCAUCGAGAGGGAAGACCUGGAGAAGUUCCAGUUCAGCUUUGAUGUCUUCUUUGGAAACCCCAAUGCCCUGACGCCCGGCGUCCGGGUCCAUUUCACGGCCUGCAAGGAGAAGAACCGGGCUGUGGCCACGGAUGUGAAAGUGGCUCCAGGGGGAACGGAGAACGUGGACCCGGAGAUCUACGAGGCCGUGGUCAGCCAGGCCAUCGAGGAGCCGCAGGAGCCGAAGCCCAUCAUGCAUUGCUGCGGACAGCGAUAGUGGGUCGGUUCUGGUUCCUUUCUGGCGGCCAUGUUGAGCAGUACUGCCAGUGAAACUACAAAUCUCAAGAUGCAUCAAUCUUCAGUAACCUGGUGAUCCAGGGCUGGGGGUGGUGUGAUGUCAUCAGAGUGAGCUGAUGACAUCACACUUAGACUCAGCUGGUAGUGGGUUGUAUGUCGUUGCUGAGGCAACAGUGGUGAACUCCCUCAACUAGUCUGCUAACAGCUCAGCAUCUUGAUACGGCUCUGCUCACCCAAAGCCUUUGCUUUUGCUGCUCCUCUUUAAAUCUCUGUCUGACC